rnacentral:rRNA from 1 species
GUGGGGAAUAUUGCACAAUGGGCGAAAGCCUGAUGCAGCGACGCCGCGUGAGGGAUGACGGCCUUCGGGUUGUAAACCUCUUUCAGUAGGGAAGAAGCGUAAGUGACGGUACCUGCAGAAGAAGCGCCGGCUAACUACGUGCCAGCAGCCGCGGUAAUACGUAGGGCGCAAGCGUUGUCCGGAAUUAUUGGGCGUAAAGAGCUCGUAGGUGGUUUGUCGCGUCUGGUGUGAAAACUUACCGCUUAACGGUGAGCUUGCAUUGGGUACGGGCAGACUAGAGGGCGGUAGGGGAGACUGGAAUUCCUGGUGUAGCGGUGGAAUGCGCAGAUAUCAGGAGGAACACCGAUGGCGAAGGCAGGUCUCUGGGCCGCAACUGACGCUGAGGAGCGAAAGCAUGGGGAGCGAACAGGAUUAGAUACCCCGGUAGUCC